GUAGGUGGCAAGCGUUGUCCGGAAUUAUUGGGCGUAAAGCGCGCGCAGGCGGUCCUUUAAGUCUGAUGUGAAAGCCCACGGCUCAACCGUGGAGGGUCAUUGGAAACUGGGGGACUUGAGUACAGAAGAGGAAAGCGGAAUUCCAAGUGUAGCGGUGAAAUGCGUAGAGAUUUGGAGGAACACCAGUGGCGAAGGCGGCUUUCUGGUCUGUAACUGACGCUGAGGCGCGAAAGCGUGGGGAGCAUACAGGGAUUAGAUACCCUGGUAGUCCACGCCGUAAACGAUGAGUGCUAAGUGUUAGGGGGUUUCCCGCCCCUUAGUGCUGCAGCUAACGCAUUAAGCACUCCGCCUGGGGAGUACGGCCGCAAGGCUG
rnacentral:rRNA from 1 species